ensembl:lncRNA
CGCGCUCUGUGUGCAGAUGCGGAUGUGUGCAGUCGGUGUGUUAGUGUCAGUGUUAGUGCAGCAGAAUGAAAUAUACCCCGUGUUACAGGCGGGUGCAGGUGAACAGGUGGAGUACAGAGAUGGAAAGGGUUUGAUUUAAGCGCAGUGAGAUGCGGCGCUGAGGAUUAAAUCGGUGCGUCGCUGCGGGGUGUGUGUGUGUGUUUGUGUGUGAGUGUGAGUGUGUUGAACUGAGUCUGUGCAGCUUUCAGUCGGUAAAACUGCACCCAUGAGUGAUUUUACAGACGCACCGGGGAGUCAUUUCCGCGCCUCGGACUGGGCGGUGAGUGAUGCGCGCGCGGACAUGAUGGACACACACGGUAUGUUGUUAGGCCUAGCUGAGGAUGCUGCCUACUCGGACCCGGACUAUCUGGACCCGAACUACACAGACAGCGAGGUACCGACGGCGAGACCGCGCCCGAGCACGCGCAGCCGGUCCGGAGAGGUGACGGAGCUCGAGGCGCAGGAAGUGCGCUGGUUCUACAGAGAGGACAAGAGGAACUGGAAGCCCUUCGUGGGACACGACUCUCUAAAGAUCGAGCUGGCGCACCGGACACUGUGCGCGCUGAUGGAUGCGCGUGAGGGCGUGUUUGAGCGGAGGACAGUGUGUGUGAGUGUGAGUGUGUGUGUGAGGACGUGGGUGUGGAGGCGGUGUGUGUGCGCGGAGGACUGUACGAGGUGGAUGUGAAGGAGAAGGAGUGUUAUCCGGUCUACUGGAACCAGCAGGAGCGUAUCCCGGUGAUGAGAGCGCAGUGGUUUACAGACGCACGUGGCUCCCGCUGGACGAGGAGGACGGAGACCUGAUAGAGCUGGAGCAUUUAGCAAAAUUUAGGGGAUAUCGAAUCGAAGAUUCCCUCGAAACUGAGGGAGUGAGCACAUCGCCUGAGAGCAAGGAGGUGAUGCACAGUGUGAAGUUGAGUCGCAGUCAUGUAGACUGGCACAGCGUGGAUGAAGUUUAUCUGUACAGCGACGCCACAACGUCUAAAAUCGCUCGAACCGUCACACAGAAACUCGGAUUCUCCAAGGCCUCCAGUAGUGGGACACGUCUCCAUCGUGGUUAUGUGGAGGAGGCGGCUCUGGAAGACACGCCCCCUGCCGCCACCCACAUUGUGUUUGUGGUGCAUGGGAUUGGGUCAGAAAAUGGACCAGGGGCGGAUCAUCAGGAACACCAGCAUGAUGCGCGAUGCAGCGAGGAAAAUGGCGGAGAAGCAUUUCUCAGAGCGGACGACGGAGCACGUGGAGUUCCUGCCUGUGG